GCUUGUCUCAAAGAUUAAGCCAUGCAUGUAUAAGUAUAAACGCAUCAAGCGUGAAACUGCGUACGGCUCAUUACAACAGCAGUAAUUUACUUGAUCUUGACAACCUACAUGGAUAACUGCGGUAAUUCUGGAGCUAAUACAUGCACCAAAGCUUCGACCCGCGAGGGAAGAGCGCAUUUAUUAGAACAAAACCAAACGGCUUCGGCUGUCAAUUGUUGACUCAGAAUAACUAAGCUGAUCGCAUGGUCUUGCACCGGCGACGUGUCUUUCAAGCUUCUGCCUUAUCAACUUUCGAUGGUAGUGUAUGUGCCUACCAUGGUGGUUACGGGUAACGGAGGAUCAGGGUUCGACUCCGGAGAAGGGGCCUGAGAAAUGGCCACUACGUCUAAGGAUGGCAGCAGGCGCGCAAAUUACCCACUCUCGAUUUGAGGAGGUAGUGACGAGAAAUAACGAGACUGAUCUCUUAUGAGGCCAGUCAUCGGAAUGGGUACAAUUUAAACCCUUUAACGAGUAUCUAUGAGAGGGCAAGUCUGGUGCCAGCAGCCGCGGUAAUUCCAGCUCUCAAAAUGCAUAGAACCAUUGCUGCGGUUAAAAAGCUCGUAGUUGGAUCUGUGCCGGCUCCCCGGUCCAUCGCAAGAUGCGCACUGGUGGCAGCCGGCUUUCCUGUGGCUCACAGCCCGGCGGCCCUCACGGACAGCCGGUGCCUGGGGCUACAACUUUACUUUGAAAAAAUUAGAGUGCU
rnacentral:rRNA from 1 species